UACGAAGGGUGCAAGUGUUACUCGGAAUUACUGGGCGUAAAGCGUGCGUAGGUGGUUCGUUAAGUCUGAUGUGAAAGCCCUGGGCUCAACCUGGGAAUGGCAUUGGAAACUGGCGACCUAGAGUGCGGUAGAGGGUAGUGGAAUUCCCGGUGUAGCAGUGAAAUGCGUAGAGAUCGGGAGGAACAUCUGUGGCGAAGGCGACUACCUGGACCAGCACUGACACUGAGGCACGAAAGCGUGGGGAGCAAACAGG
rnacentral:rRNA from 1 species